ACGGGUGAGUAACGCGUGGGAAUCUACCCUUUAGUUGGGGACAACAUAUGGAAACGUAUGCUAAUACCGAAUAUGCUCUACGGAGUAAAGGUGGCCUCUACUUGUAAGCUAUCGCUAAAGGAUGAGCCCGCGUUAGAUUAGCUAGUUGGUAAGGUAAAGGCUUACCAAGGCGACGAUCUAUAGCUGGUUUGAGAGGAUGANCAGCCACACUGGGACUGAGACACGGCCCAGACUCCUACGGGAGGCAGCAGGGGGGAAUAUUG
rnacentral:rRNA from 1 species